rnacentral:rRNA from 1 species
ACGAGACGACGCGUGGCGGCGUCGCUAACACAUGCAAGUCGAACGGAGAUGUUUAUUUCGGUAGAUAUCUUAGUGGCGCACGGGUGAGUAACGCGUGAAUAACCUGACCCGAAGAGGGGGAUAACACCUGGAAACAAGUGCUAAUACCGCAUAAGACCACAGACCGGCAUCGGUCAGAGGUCAAAGGAGAAAUCCGCUUUGGGAGGGGUUCGUGUCCCAUUAGGUAGUUGGUGAGGUAACGGCCCACCAAGCCGACGAUGGGUAGCCGAGCUGAGAGGCUGAUCGGCCACACUGGAACUGAGACACGGUCCAGACUCCUACGGGAGGCAGCAGUGGGGAAUAUUGGGCAAUGGGCGCAAGCCUGACCCAGCAACGCCGCGUGAGGGAAGAAGGUUUUCGGAUUGUAAACCUCUGUCGCAGGGGACGAAGGAAGUGACGGUACCCUGUAAGAAAGCCCCGGCUAACUACGUG